rnacentral:rRNA from 1 species
GUCCACGCCGUAAACGUUGGGCACUAGGUGUGGGGUUCUAUCGACGGAUUCCGUGCCGUAGCUAACGCAUUAAGUGCCCCGCCUGGGGAGUACGGCCGCAAGGCUAAAACUCAAAGGAAUUGACGGGGCCCGCACAAGCGGCGGAGCAUGUGGCUUAAUUCGAUGCGACGCGAAGAACCUUACCUGGGUUUGACAUGUAGGGAAAAGCCGUAGAGAUACGGUGUCCUUCGGGGCCCUACACAGGUGGUGCAUGGCUGUCGU